GGAAUUUUGCGCAAUGGGCUAACGCCUGACGCAGCAACGCCGCGUGGAGGAUGAAGGUCCUUGGAUUGUAAACUCCUGUCAGCGGGGAAAAAGCGACCGUGGCUAACAUCCACGGGAGUUGAUUGUACCCGCAGAGGAAGCCCCGGCUAACUCUGUGCCAGCAGCCGCGGUAAUACAGAGGGGGCAAGCGUUAUUCGGAAUUAUUGGGCGUAAAGGGCGCGUAGGCGGCUUUGCAAGUGACGGGUGAAAUCCCUCGGCUUAACCGAGGAACUGCCUGUCAGACUGCAUGGCUUGAGACCAGGAGAGGUGAGUGGAAUUCCCAGUGUAGCGGUGAAAUGCGUAGAUAUUGGGAGGAACACCAGUGGCGAAGGCGGCUCACUGGACUGGUACUGACGCUGAGGCGCGAAAGCGUGGGGAGCAAAC
rnacentral:rRNA from 1 species